UAGGAAGAAGGUGAGUAUUUAUUUACAAGUGAAUGUGAAUGGGUAGAUAUAUCCAGCUGGCGUAGCGGGCAGCGGUGGUGAGUUGAUGGGAGUAAAUAGGUGGAUCCAAUGGGGUAGCGGAAUCCUCCGACGACCAGGCGGGAAUGGGGUAAAUGAUCCGGGACCUGAGCCAUAGGACCAUGCCCCAGGACUACCUGACAUGAUGACUCCUUGCUGUCCCCAGUCCACCUGACUGUGCCGCUGCUCCAGUUUCAACUGUUCUGCCUUAUUAUUAUUCGACCAUGCUGGUCAUUUAUGAACAUUUGAACAUCUUGGUCAUGUUCUGUUAUAAUCUCUACCCGGCACAGCCAGAAGAGGACUGGCCACCCCACAUAGCCUGGUUCCUCUCUAGGUUUCUUCCUAGGUUUUGGCCUUUCUAGGGAGUUUUUCCUAGCCACCGUGCUUUUACACCUGCAUUGUUUGCUGUUUGGGGUUUUAGGCUGGGUUUCUGUACAGCACUUUGAGAUAUCAGCUGAUGUACGAAGGGCUAUAUAAAUAAAUAAAUUUGAUUUGAUUUUGA